UAGGGAAUCUUCGGCAAUGGACGAAAGUCUGACCGAGCAACGUCGCGUGAGUGAAGAAGGUUUUCGGAUCGUAAAACUCUGUUGUUAGAGAAGAACAAGGACGUUAGUAACUGAACGUCCCCUGACGGUAUCUAACCAGAAAGCCACGGCUAACUACGUGCCAGCAGCCGCGGUAAUACGUAGGUGGCAAGCGUUGUCCGGAUUUAUUGGGCGUAAAGCGAGCGCAGGCGGUUUCUUAAGUCUGAUGUGAAAGCCCCCGGCUCAACCGGGGAGGGUCAGUGGAAACUGGGGGACUUGAGUGCAGAAGAGGAGAGUGGAAUUCCAUGUGUAGCGGUGAAAUGCGGAGAUAUAUGGGGGAACACCAGUGGCGAAGGCGGCGCUCUGGUAUGUAACAGACGCUGAGGCUCGAAAGCGUGGGGAGCAAACAGG
rnacentral:rRNA from 1 species